rnacentral:lncRNA from 1 species
UUUCUUUAAAAAUUUGUAGUAAUUUUAUUUUUUAUCCAAAAAAUCCCAAAAUAAUUUCUAAAAGUCUCUCUUAUUUUUCCUCAUUUGAUUUUUAUUUUUUCACAUUUUAUUUCAUUGAUUUUCUAUUUUUCAUGAUUUUUCUCUUUUCUCCUUUGUUUUAAUUGGUUUCAAAAUACUUUCUUGCAUAUUUUAAUUUUGACAAUUU